UGGUAAUGCCGGAUGCUCCAGUUGAUCGCAUGGUCUUCUGGGAAAGCUUUCGCGGUAUGGGAUGGGGUCGCGUCCUAUCAGCUUGACGGCGGGGUAACGGCCCACCGUGGCUUCGACGGGUAGCCGGCCUGAGAGGGCGACCGGCCACAUUGGGACUGAGAUACGGCCCAGACUCCUACGGGAGGCAGCAGUGGGGAAUAUUGCACAAUGGGCGCAAGCCUGAUGCAGCGACGCCGCGUGAGGGAUGGAGGCCUUCGGGUUGUAAACCUCUUUUAUCGGGGAGCAAGCGAGAGUGAGUUUACCCGUUGAAUAAGCACCGGCUAACUACGUGCCAGCAGCCGCGGUAAUACGUAGGGUGCAAGCGUUAUCCGGAAUUAUUGGGCGUAAAGGGCUCGUAGGCGGUUCGUCGCGUCCGGUGUGAAAGUCCAUCGCUUAACGGUGGAUCCGCGCCGGGUACGGGCGGGCUUGAGUGCGGUAGGGGAGACUGGAAUUCCCGGUGUAACGGUGGAAUGU
rnacentral:rRNA from 1 species